rnacentral:piRNA from 1 species
UAUAAAGAACUUGAAGGGACAGUACCCAACC